GGGACAGUGAGACUGGAGAUGCGCGGUCACGAGACUACUCCAUUUUUUUCUUUCAGCCUUUGAAUGAAUACAACGUUGCCUGGUUGGAAUAUUAUCGCUAUUUUACGAGAAGAAUAGCAUAAAAAUUGAUUUUAAACAGCGUUUGACAUGCUUCUAAGUACGGUAAUGGAAUAUUUAGAAUUUUUUGUCACGAAAUGAGAUCGCGCAUCACCCUUCGGAUAGUGACCUGAACGCACGAACAAAACGGAGCUAUUUGAAUAUAACUAUGGAUUAUUUGGAACCAAAACAACAUUUGUUGUAGAAGUCCUGGGAGUGCAUUCUGACGAAGAACAUCAAAGCGUCUCCACUAAUGACAUCCUCCAUUGAUUGUCUUCCAGAGAGACAUCAGAGAUUGUAACAUCCUCUGUUUCACGGAAACAUGGCUCACUCGGGCUAUGUUAUCAGAGUCGGUACAGCCACCCGGUUUCUUCACGCAUCACGCCGACAGAAACAAACAUCUCUCUGGUGUGCUGGAGUCAGUGCAGAUCCCUACCAGCGGCAACUCAUUCAAUAACCAAGACCUCUACAAAUACUCAGUCCU
rnacentral:lncRNA from 1 species